UACACGAUUUUCUUUUUCUUAGCUUAUUACGUCUUCAAAAACUGAGUUUCUUUUCUCAGAUAAGGAUCUUAAUUACAUCUUUUGAUAAUUGAGCUUCUUUUCUGAGCAUGGCCCUUAAUUUUUGUCUUCAAUAAUUAAGAAAGAGCACUCUUGCUGGACUCUUGGCACUUGGUCAUGAUGUUCAUCCGGAUGAGUAUCACAGUUUCGUGCACGGGAGGUUGCCGUAUGAGAACAUCCGACCCGACCCAAAGUUAAGACAGCUCUUGCUCAGCACGCCACAGACCAAAAUCAUGUUCACGAAUUCGG